rnacentral:pre_miRNA from 1 species
AUCAUACUCCCUCCGUUCGGAAUUACUUGUCGCGAAAAUGGAUGUAUCUAGACGUAUUUUAGUUCUAGAUACAUCCAUUUCCAAGACAAGUAAUUCCGAACGGAGGGAGUAGUUG